GCGCCACUGGCACUGAGACACUGGCCAGACUCCUACGGGAGGCUGCAGUGAGGAAUCUUGCGCAAUGGGCGAAAGCCUGACGCAGCGACGCCGCGUGGAGGAUGAAGGUCUUCGGGUUGUAAACCUCUUUUGUCAGGGAAGAUGAUGACGGUACCUGGCGAAUAAGCCACGGCUAACUACGUGCCAGCAGCCGCGGUAAUACGUAGGUGGCAAGCGUUGUCCGGAUUUACUGGGCGUAAAGAGCGCGCAGGCGGUCGUUCAAGUCGCGUGUGAAAGCCCCCGGCUCAACUGGGGAGGGUCACGCGAUACUGAUCGACUCGAAGGCAGGAGAGGGUAGUGGAAUUCCCGGUGUAGUGGUGAAAUGCGUAGAUAUCGGGAGGAACACCAGUGGCGAAGGCGACUACCUGGCCUGUUCUUGACGCUGAGGCGCGAAAGCUAGGGGAGCAAACGGGAUUAGAUACCCCGGUAGUCCACGCUGUAAACGAUGACGACUAGGUGUGGGGUGGUUCAGUCCAUUCCGUGCCGCAGCUAACGCAUUAAGUCGUCCGCCUGGGGAGUACGGCCCCA
rnacentral:rRNA from 1 species